AGUUGGUAAGGUAACGGCUUACCAAGGCAACGAUACGUAGCCGACCUGAGAGGGUGAUCGGCCACACUGGAACUGAGACACGGUCCAGACUCCUACGGGAGGCAGCAGUAGGGAAUCUUCCGCAAUGGGCGAAAGCCUGACGGAGCAACGCCGCGUGAGUGAUGAAGGUCUUCGGAUCGUAAAACUCUGUUAUCAGGGAAGAACAAAUGUGUAAGUAACUGUGCACAUCUUGACGGUACCUGAUCAGAAAGCCACGGCUAACUACGUGCCAGCAGCCGCGGUAAUACGUAGGUGGCAAGCGUUAUCCGGAAUUAUUGGGCGUAAAGCGCGCGUAGGCGGUUUUUUAAGUCUGAUGUGAAAGCCCACGGCUCAACCGUGGAGGGUCAUUGGAAACUGGAAAACUUGAGUGCAGAAGAGGAAAGUGGAAUUCCAUGUGUAGCGGUG
rnacentral:rRNA from 1 species